AGCCUAAUGAUAAUAAAUAUUAGGUUAGCUCUGCCCAGUGAAGUUUUAACGGCCGCGGUAUUUUAACCGUGCAAAGGUAGCAUAAUAAUUUGCCCCUUAAUUGAGGGCUAGAAUGAAUGAGUAAACGAGAGUUACACUGUCUCAAAAAGAGUUAUAUAACCUAGCCUUUAAGUGAAGAGACUUAAAUUACCCUAAAAGACAAAAAGACCCUGUCGAGCUUUAAUAUUAUUAAUAUAAUCCAUUUUUAAUACUAAGAGUUAUUUUUGUUGGGGCGACAAGGGAGCAACUAAAACCUCCCGGAUAUUGAGACACCCCGUCAAAUAAAUGACCCUUAAUUAUGAUCACCGGCAUAGCUACCGCAGGGAUAACAGACUAAUUUUCUUUUCAAGCCCUUAUUAACAAGAAAGUUUGGCACCUCGAUGUUGGCUUAGAGAUUCUUCUAGGCGCAAGAGCAUAGAAAGAGGGUGUGUUCACCCCUUAAAUC
rnacentral:rRNA from 1 species